AUUACUGUUGUUUUUUCAGUCGCUAGAGAAACUUUGAAUAUGCUGUCUUCUUUCUCUCUAUGGUGAAGUCCCUCCCACCGAGCUUUGUGACAUGAAGGGAUGUGUCUGUAGAUACAGUUCCUUUGCCAGCUUCAGCUUGACUGCCAUUAUUUCUUUGUUUUAUUUAAUAAUAAUCUUUUUAUUAUUUAAACCCUCCCCACCUGGCUAGGUUGCCCCAGCCACUCUAGGCAGCUUCCAAUACAGUCAUACCUUGGUUGUCAAACGCUUUGGUACUCGGACGGUUUGGCUCCCGAACACCACAAACCUGGAAGUGAGUGUUCCGGUUUGCAAAUGUUUUUUGGAAGCUAAACAUCCGACGCGGCUUCCAGUUGACUGCAGGAAGCUCCUUGGUUUUUGAAUGGUUUUGGGAGUCAAACAGACUCCAGGAACAGAUUAAAUUCGACAACUAAGGUACCACUGUACAUAUAAAAACACAUAUAGUGAAAUGGGUGUACAAAAACUUUACAGGUAUUGUUUAUUACAAGGAACUAGAGCACAGUUAACAUUUGAUUUUAAUUUUGAAGUAAAACCCGCACUACCAGCUACUCUGCAGUGUAAACACACCACUGAUUAGACCAUAAGGUGUGCAUCGCCCUGAAAAAGGGUAAAUGAAAAACACAAAAAAAUGGCCUACGGUAUGAAGACAUGACACAAAAGGAAAAAGUGAUGGGGUGGGAGGAAGAAACCACAAAUUCAAGCACCAAUUCUCAGAGGUUGCGGUUUAUUAUCAGGAACAAUUUUGGGUCCCACCUGGUAGUUAAUUGUCAUGGUGAUGCUACAAAGUGCAGUUAGUGUUUCAGUCCUAUGUAUCUUUGGAGCAAAUUCCAUUGGGAUUUGCUUUUGAGUAGACAUGGGAAGUUCAUGCCUGCAGGGUGCUCUCUCGGACAUAAAAAAAUCUCUUUUCCGGCAUCUUACCACUUGCCCCUCCCACCCCGUGUGUGGGAAGCUGCUUUUGCAGUGCAGAUGUGCACAUUUGCUUGUGUCAAGAUGGGUGGAAUGUAGUUUUAUUCUUUGAAAACAGGAAGAGCCUGACUGGGAGAUGGUAGCGUUCUUCAUUCUCAUUUUCAUUCCAGAUAAGCGUGGAUGGUGAUUUAUUUUUUGUGCAAACUACCGCAUAGAUUCAGAUUGCCUACACUGGGGAACGGAGGUUCCUUGAUCAAGAUUGCCAGCCUGAAAAUGAAAAAAGAAGAAUAAGUUUUUAUUAAUUUACGUAUUACGUUUUUUGUUAUACUGCUCUGUGGCCCAAAGCCCUCUGUGAGUGGUUUACAGUUAAGUGCAGGGUUUUUUUUUAAAGAAGAAGAGAAAAAGCACCAGAAUAUAUGAAAUUGCAAUAUAUAACAGUAUACUGUAUAGAUAAAUGUUGUUAAUAAUGUAAUUUAAAUACAUGCACUCUGGAAUGAA